UGCAUGGAAACGGGAGGACACAGGGUGUUGAGKGCUGGCUGAUAUCUAGCGGCGGACGGGUGAGUAACGCGUGAGCAACCUGCCUUGKACUGGGGGAUAACGUCGGGAAACCGGSGCUAAUACCGCAUAAGACUCCGAGACCACAUGGUUUUGCAGUCAAAACUCCGGKGGKACAAGAUGGGCUCGCGUCCAAUUAGCUAGUUGGKGAGGUAACGGCCCACCAAGGSRACGAUKGGUAGCCGAACUGAGAGGUUGAUCGGCCACAUKGGGACUGARACACGGCCCAGACUCCUACGGGAGGCAGCAGKGGGGAAUAUKGGGCAAKGGGGGAAACCCUGACCCAGCAACGCCGCGKGAAGGAUGAAGACUUUCGGGUUGUAAACUUCUUUGAUCGGGGACGAAAUUGACGGUACCCGAAGAACAAGCCACGGCUAACUACGUGCCAGCAGCCGCGGUAAUACGUAGGUGGCGAGCGUUAUCCGGAAUUACKGGGCGUAARGGGCGUGUAGGCGGGAAGACAAGUCAGGAGUGAAAUCCCAGGGCUUAACCCUGGAGCUGCUUCUGAAACUGUUUUUCUUGAGUAUCGGAGAGGAAAGUGGAAUUCCCAGUGUAGCGGUGAARUGCGUAGAGAUCGGGAGGAACACCAGUGGCGAAGGCGGCUUUCUGGACGAUUACUGACGCUGAGGCGCGAAAGCGUGGGGAGCAAACAGGAUUAGAUACCCUGGUAGUCCA
rnacentral:rRNA from 1 species